UUUUUUUAACCAAACAGAUACGCUUUGCUCAUUUAAUUUCCCGACACCGCAUUCAGCCUCUGCACCUUAAAGUCCUUUGAGCGGUAGGUCCACGUUUAUACCUCCUCUGGAGCAAGUGCAAAAUACACUUCAGCUCAAGGGCUGGAGAAAAUCCUUCUCCGCAAGCAGAAGCUCUGCUGAGCAGCCUGGUGCUGCUGAUUAUAUAGUGCAACUUGAAAUGAUCUCAGCCGGUGGAAUAUUAAUCAAAUCAAUCAGGGUUGACAAAUGAGAAAUAUUUGAGGGAAGGUGGUAAUUUACAACUUUGUUAUUAGUUAAGAAUCUCCCGCCUUGUAAGAGUAAUUAAUAACUCCUGGAUGGGAACAAUUUGGAGACGGCAAGAAGACAGCGUCUUGAAAUAAAACAGGAUAAAGAGAGGGGUUGAGAAGUGAACUGCGCCUCCGUGGAAGAGAAAUUGCAAAUGAUUUUUUAAAAGAUGUCUACGGGGGCAUUAUAUAUAUAAUCUGUACAUUAUGUAUACACGAGUAUAAAUAUGGAAUAAUCAGGCGAGCGAGCGAGGGAGACUGGACAGGAGAUAAAUACUGAAAAAAAUAAAUCAAAACAUUGAUUCUCGUGGUCACGUCUCCCGUCCAAAGAUUAGAUGAAACGCUGGGUUUCAAAGUACUUCAAAGAAAUGAUCCCCGCUCAGGCACGCAGGGGUCACUCCUAUUUAGCCAUUUCCACCUUAUUUCCUACACCCUGCUCUCUAGGUGCAUAGGGCUGCGCAUACGCGCGGCGGUGCGCGGAGGUUCCGCUCCGGCACAGUGCAGAAAGCUCACCCAGAUGACCUUUUUCCUUUUUUUCCCCCCUUAAAAGCAGAGAAAGAUGAUCUCUGGGCCGUUAUUUACAGCCACGUAAUUAAGUCAAUAUGAUGGUUUCGAACCAGAAUCCCAGUCCCACUCGCGGCAGAGCGAGAGGGGCUGAAGCCAAGUUUAUUGUCUGUCACUUCAAGGCAUGGGGGUUAAUUUAAGCGCUAUUGGUAUUAUUUCUCUGCGUCCGAGGCCACAGCAAAGCACAGACCGCAGUGCUGGGUGUUUAUUGCAGGCGAUGUGACAGUCUGGAUGCAAGGCGAGGAGGGAGUGUGGGAGAGUUCAGGCGAGGGCUGAACCAGCCCCGCAAGCAGGGCUGAAACCCGUGUCUUCUUUUUCUUCCAGGCUUACAUGAGGGUUUAUCAUUAGUUUCUUUUUCUUU
rnacentral:lncRNA from 1 species